GUUUAGGGUUUAGUGAAUAUAGUUUACGGUUUAGUAUUUAGAAGGUGAGGGGAUAUGGUUGGGGUCAGCAUUAACUUCUUCGAUGAAAUCAUAGACAUUUCAUUAUUUCAUCAAUAUAUACCAUGCUAUUUAUUUUGUUCCAUUCUAUUUGGGUUUAGAGUUUAUUUUUGGGUUUAGGGUUUAGUGAAUCAUAUUUAGGGUUUAGUAUUUAGAAAGUGAGGGGUUUUGGUUGGGGUAAGCAUUAACUUUAAUUUCUUCCAUGAAAUCAUAGAUAUUUCAUAAUUUCACCAAUAUAUAACAUACUAUUAUUUUGUUCCAUUCUAUUUGGGUUUAUAGUUUAUAUUUGGGUUUAGGGUCUAGUGAAUAGGGUGUAGGGUUUAGUGAAUAUGGUUUAGGGUUUAGUAUUUAGAAGAUGAAGGGGUAUGGUUGGGGUCAACAUCAACUUUUUCUAUGAAAUCAUAGACAUUUCUUACAUGCAAUCGUAUACAUUUCAUAAUUUCACUAAUAUGUAUUAUGUUAUUUAUUUUGUUCCAUUCUAUUUGGGUUUAAUAUUUAUAUUUGGGUUUAGGGUUUCUAUUUGGGUUAUGGUUUAGUGAUUAGAGUUUAGGGUUUAGUAUUUAGAAGGGUUUAUAUUUAGGGUUUAUAUUUUUUGUGUAGGGUUUCGUGAUGAUUAGAUAGGGUUUAGUUUCUGGAAUAUUGGGUUCACCAUUGGAAAAACAUUACUUGUUUCUGUUCUGUUUGGAUAUGGAAUAGAACACUUCUGAACUUUCACACCAUGUGUUUUAAUUUUGGUGAUAUAUUGGUAUAUUACAUAAUAUAAUUUAAUAUAUAACAUAAUUUAGUUUAAUAUUACAUACCAUUAUGUAUUUUUUAGAUUUUGAUAUAUGAGUUUAGGGUUUAUAUUUGGGUUAGGGUUUAGUGAUUAGAUUUUAGGGUUUAGUUUUUAUCUGAUAUGGAAUAAAACUUAGAUGAUAUGGAAUAUAAAUCUUGAUGCUUAUGUAUGUGAUCAAUAAAGUUAUACGUGGAUGG
rnacentral:lncRNA from 1 species